rnacentral:lncRNA from 1 species
UUAAACACCUGCAGGGGUGGUGACUCCACCGCCUCCCCGAAAAGCCCAUUCAAUAUCGAAUCACCCUUUCGGUGAAGGAAUUCCUCCUAAUGUCCAACGCGGCCCAGCACAUUAUUGUCUUCUACUCUAAUGAGACCCUGUUAAUUCCCAAAUGAUCUUGUCCUUAUUCAGAGGCACGGUGAGCACCUCACAGGCGUCGGGUCCAGGACCAGACAGGAAAGUGCUGAGCGUCAUUUCACAGAGGAAUCGGUGAACAUAGAAACUGUACCAUGCUUUCUCAGCUGUAUAACUCAUGGAAAUCAGUGAGAUGCUGCCCUUGCGUUUUAAUCAAGAUGAACUUGAAAGGUGAACAUUCGUAUCAACAAUGGAGGAUAUAAUUUGGAAGAUGAAAUGUGAAGAUACAAGUACUAUGCUCACAUGCUGAAGUUUCCUCAGCUGGAGGGAAUUCUGGUGGAAAUUGGGAAUAAUGCUGGAUUACUGUUUUCACACAAAAUGGAUAAGAAGAUUUUUCUCUUUUUUUUGAAAUCCUGA